UACGGGGGGUGCGAGCGUUGUUCGGAAUUAUUGGGCGUAAAGGGCGCGUAGGCGGCUUGGCAAGUGGAAGGUGAAAUCCCUCGGCUUAACCGAGGAACUGCCCUCCAAACUGCUUGGCUUGAGACCGGGAGAGGUGAGUGGAAUUCCCAGUGUAGCGGUGAAAUGCGUAGAUAUUGGGAGGAACACCAGUGGCGAAGGCGGCUCACUGGACCGGAACUGACGCUGAGGCGCGAAAGCGUGGGGAGCAAACAGG
rnacentral:rRNA from 1 species